CCUAAACCGAUGAAAAAGAAGAGUACCCGAAAUUCGGAUUCGCACAGAGAGCCGCGGCAUGGUGGGAGCGCGGUCGAGGAUGGUUCGGGGAAUGGACUUUGGAGGGCAGAUCGAACGGGUCAAAUUUUGACCUCAGUAGUGAGACGGGGACUCCGCCCGUUAUCAGUGGAGCCUGCAUUGAUCUCGAUGCAGAUUUGAGCGGACGUAUUUCAUACGUCAAUCCGGGUGGCACCGCAGAGGUUUCAGCGCCUUUGUCCCAGAA
rnacentral:ncRNA from 1 species